UCCAGGGUAGCCUAGUGGACAUGGCAUCUGCCCGGUAAGCGGAACGUUGUGGGUUGAUUCCCAUCCCUGGAC
rnacentral:tRNA from 1 species